ensembl:lncRNA
CUUUUAUUUAACAGUUAGCUACAAUGCUGUUUCUCUGUUACAUAAAAGAGACCACACCAUUUCAUUAGAAGCAAGCUGCAUUAUUCCAUCUUCAUGUAAGAGUUUUGUGGCACACUGAACUUGAAGAAGAUUAAGGAAUUAAAAUAAUGGAGAAGAAACAUGGCAUAAGAGGAAGAUCCUGCACAUACACACCUGGAUUCCUUUUUCAAGUAUAACAACUUUACUAGACAUGAGUGGCAAUGACAGACAGGAUAACAACAAGAUUUGACUGGAUUGGGACAAAUUAAUACUGAUAAAAUGCAUCACAGGAUAUAAACAAGGGCAAAAUCAUGUUCCACUGAGUUACCUCUGUAGGGAUAAACUGUCGAGGGAUCCUGGCUUGAGCAUUGGAAGACCAUAAUGUGAAUGCAGAAACAAGAGUUUAAAUAUGAGGACAGAAGUUAUGCAGGUGCAAUCACUGGGCCUGGCCCAAAUGAUGGGGUUACCAUCUUAUAACAACAUUUGGAAAUGAUAAAAGGAUAAAGUGAGGACCCCCCGUCUGUUUAUACUAACA